rnacentral:rRNA from 1 species
UACGUAGGGGGCAAGCGUUAUCCGGAAUUACUGGGUGUAAAGGGUGCGUAGGCGGUAAUGUAAGUCAGGUGUGAAAGCCCGAAGCUCAACUUCGGGAUUGCACUUGAAACUACAUAACUAGAGUAUAGGAGAGGUGAGUGGAAUUCCUAGUGUAGCGGUGAAAUGCGUAGAUAUUAGGAGGAACACCAGUGGCGAAGGCGACUCACUGGACUAUAACUGACGCUGAGGCGCGAAAGCGUGGGGAGCAAACAGG